CGUCUAUAUACGUAUAGCAUAUCAAUAAGCGGAGGAAAAGAAACUAACUAGGAUUCCCUCAGUAACGGCGAGUGAAGCGGGAAGAGCUCAAAUUUGAAAUCUUCAAGGUUCUACCUUGACGAAUUGUAGUUUAAAGAAGUGUUUUCUGUUGGAGUUUUGGUAAAAGUUCUUUGGAAUAGGACAUCAUAGAGGGUGAGAAUCCCGUAUUUGACCAUUAUUUCCAACUUUGUGAUACACUUUCAAAGAGUCGGAUUGUUUGGGAAUGCAGUCCAAAAUGGGUGGUAAAUUUCAUCUAAAGCUAAAUACUGGCGAGAGACCGAUAGCGAACAAGUACCGUGAGGGAAAGAUGAAAAGAACUUUGAAAAGAGAGUUAAACAGUACGUGAAAUUGUCAAAAGGGAAGCGUUUGACACCAGUGUUGUUUUCUCGAAAAUCAAUUAAAAAUGGCGGGAUUUUGUGUUGUAUUGACUUUAUCAGCUUUCUGCACUUUUUUCCUGUCUUUUUUAAUGCACUUUUCGUUUAACAAGUCAACAUCAAUUUCUUUUGUUGUAAAAGGGUCAUUGGAAGGUGGCUUUCUUUUCGGAGAAAGUGUUUAUAGCCUUUGCCUCUGCAAUCGGAGAGAUUGAGGUCUGCAGCGUAGAUCCUUCGGGGUUAGAUGCAUUUGUGCUAAGCUAUAGCCUUUCAUAGACAACUUGUUGACUAUGAUCAGUCAUGUAGCUUACUCGCUUAUGUCAUUUUACCUACGCUUAGGAUGUUGAUCUGUAGUGCGUGCGC
rnacentral:rRNA from 1 species